UACGGGGGGGGCAAGCGUUGUUCGGAAUUACUGGGCGUAAAGGGCUCGUAGGCGGCCAACUAAGUCAGACGUGAAAUCCCUCGGCUUAACCGGGGAACUGCAUCUGAUACUGGAUGGCUUGAGUUCGGGAGAGGGAUGCGGAAUUCCAGGUGUAGCGGUGAAAUGCGUAGAUAUCUGGAAGAACACCAAUGGCGAAGGCACCAUCCUGGGAAGCAUCUGACGCUCAGGUGCGAAAGCUAGGGGAGCGAACGGG
rnacentral:rRNA from 1 species